GUGGAUUAGAUACCCGGGUAGUCCACGCCCUAAACUAUGUCAACUGGUUGUCGGGGAAGCAAUUCCUUGGUAACGAAGCUAACGCGUGAAGUUGACCGCCUGGGGAGUACGGCCGCAAGGUUAAAACUCAAAGGAAUUGACGGGGACCCGCACAAGCGGUGGAUUAUGUGGAUUAAUUCGAUGCAACGCGAAAAACCUUACCUACCCUUGACAUGUACGGAAGCCUCCAGAGAUGGAGGUGUGCCCGAAAGGGAACCGUAACACAGGUGCUGCACGGUGGUCGCCAACU
rnacentral:rRNA from 1 species